rnacentral:rRNA from 2 species
CCUUCCGGGGGGGCAGCAGUAGGGAAUCUUCCACAAUGGGCGCAAGCCUGAUGGAGCAACACCGCGUGAGUGAAGAAGGGUUUCGGCUCGUAAAGCUCUGUUGUUGGAGAAGAACGUGCGUGAGAGUAACUGUUCACGCAGUGACGGUAUCCAACCAGAAAGUCACGGCUAACUACGUGCCAGCAGCCGCGGUAAUACGUAGGUGGCAAGCGUUAUCCGGAUUUAUUGGGCGUAAAGCGAGCGCAGGCGGUUGCUUAGGUCUGAUGUGAAAGCCUUCGGCUUAACCGAAGAAGUGCAUCGGAAACCGGGCGACUUGAGUGCAGAAGAGGACAGUGGAACUCCAUGUGUAGCGGUGGAAUGCGUAGAUAUAUGGAAGAACACCAGUGGCGAAGGCGGCUGUCUGGUCUGCAACUGACGCUGAGGCUCGAAAGCAUGGGUAGCGAACAGGAUUAGAUACCCUGGUAGUCCAUGCCGUAAACGAUGAGUGCUAGGUGUUGGAGGGUUUCCGCCCUUCAGUGCCGGAGCUAACGCAUAAGCACUCCGCCUGGAGACACCCGACUGG